rnacentral:rRNA from 1 species
GUUUGAUCCUGGCUCAGGAUGAACGCUAGCGGCAGGCUUAAUACAUGCAAGUCGUGGGGCAGCAGGUCUGUAGCAAUACAGAUGCUGGCGACCGGCAAACGGGUGCGGAACACGUACGCAACCUUCCUUCAAGUGGGGAUAGCCCGGGAAACCCGGAUUAAUACCCCGUAAUAUUAUGGAGUGGCAUCACUUUAUAAUUAUAGCUCCGGCGCUUGAAGAUGGGCGUGCGCCUGAUUAGGUAGUUGGCGGGGUAACGGCCCACCAAGCCUACGAUCAGUAACUGGUGUGAGAGCACGACCAGUCACACGGGCACUGAGACACGGGCCCGACUCCUACGGGAGGCAGCAGUAAGGAAUAUUGGGCAAUGGACGCAAGUCUGACCCAGCCAUGCCGCGUGGAGGAUGAAGGUCCUCUGGAUUGUAAACUUCUUUUAUCUGAGAAGAAACCCAAGAUUUCUAUUUUGGUUGACGGUACCAGAUGAAUAAGCACCGGCUAACUCCGUG